GUGUCAGCAGCCGCGGUAAUACGUAGGGGGCAAGCGUUGUCCGGAAUCAUUGGGCGUAAAGAGCGCGUAGGCGGUCCGGUAAGUCGGUUGUGAAAACUGGGGGCUCAACCCUCAGAGGCCGACCGAUACUGCCGGGCUAGAGUCCGGAAGAGGCGAGUGGAAUUCCUGGUGUAGCGGUGAAAUGCGCAGAUAUCAGGAGGAACACCAAUGGCGAAGGCAGCUCGCUGGGACGGUACUGACGCUGAGGCGCGAAAGCGUGGGGAGCAAACAGGAUUAGAUACCCCAGUAGUCC
rnacentral:rRNA from 1 species